UACGAAGGUGGCUAGCGUUGUUCGGAAUCAUUGGGCUUAAAGCGGGCGCAGGCGGAAAGGUAAGUGUUUUGUGAAAUCCCCCGGCUUAACCGGGGAAUCGCUUGGCAAACUCCCUUUCUUGAGGCAAGCAGGGGUACAUGGAACUCUUGGUGGAGCGGUAGAAUGCGUAGAUAUCAAGAAGAACGCCAGUGGAGAAAUCGGUGUACUGGGCUUGUUCUGACGCUGAGGCCCGAAAGCGUGGGUAGCAAACAGG
rnacentral:rRNA from 1 species